GAUCCUGGCUCAGAUUGAACGCUGGCGGCAGGCUUAACACAUGCAAGUCGAACGGUAGCAGGAGAAAGCUUGCUUUCUUGCUGACGAGUGGCGGACGGGUGAGUAAUGCUUGGGAAUCUGGCUUAUGGAGGGGGAUAACUACGGGAAACUGUAGCUAAUACCGCGUAAUAUCGAAAGAUUAAAGUGUGGGACCUUCGGGCCACAUGCCAUAAGAUGAGCCCAAGUGGGAUUAGGUAGUUGGUGGGG
rnacentral:rRNA from 1 species